UCAUCAAUGGGUGGUCACUGCACUAUAUAAAGGUACGAGUCAACCGACGAAGGUCUCAAAGUCGUUUUGUUUGAAGAAGGAAGCACUAGUAGCAACACGCCAUCAUUCCACAGCUUUUAUCGCCUGCAAGAAGAAGACUCCUAUACAGAAUGAAUAAGACAAUCUGCGCCACGAUGCUGCUGUCGCUUGUAGUGCUUCAGAUAAUCUCAUCCUGUUCGGCACAGAACCAGUUCACGUCUGACUGGGCGUGGGGAAAGCGCUCAGAGGGCAAGAACUGCGACCACGUCAACCCUUCAGUGAUGGCGAAAGUCUACUCUCUCAUCGAGACGGAGGCAAAGCGAAUUGCAGACUGCACGGCAUCCACCGAAAGAGCAUCUCGCAAGUAACGUUUCGGAAGGCUCACAACGCAACCAUGUUGGUCAUGGAAGCAUCGAUGGACUGAAUACCGCGUGGAAUCCGAGUCCUUCGCGCGCGAUGACCUUUUUUACUCCGUGAAGAUGACUCGUGAUUUCUCCCGAGAAUCAUACAGCAACUUUCGACUGCUAGCCACGCUUUCGUCACAACCGAGCAUUGCCUGAUGACAAUUGUCAUCAUCGUCACAAUGCGAUUAAAUUAGAGGAAUCCCGCUGGAGAAAUCUCGGGGACAACUACGACGUGGUGGGAAAUCACUCUCAGCACAUCGUCCACGAAAUCUACUAAAUUUGAGAAAACGUUAAAUUUUGAUAUUUUCCAUCUUCUUAUAGUAUGUGUGUAUGCAAUAAGUGUAGCGAUAAUAUUCAUAAAUAUUUAUACAUACGUGUGUUUACGCGUCACUCCGAAACACUGUAGCCAAUGAUCCGAAUAAUUCAGAUAUUUCGUCUCUAUGCACAGGAAAUACUGAACACAUAAUAAGUGCCGUCAGACGACUUUCGCAAAGGUUGCCUCUCUAUUUAGAGCAAUUGAAACAUGUGCGCUCUUGCUUAAACGUUAAAUUUAGCAUCUGCAACUAAUCCUCACAACUGAAUAAUGAAUUAAAAGCGGUUGGAGAUUUUAAAAAUUAAACUAUCCACAUCGUUUAUUAUUUUCCGCAUUAUGCGAUCGCGUGGACAACUAUAGAGUCGGUGAUAGAAACCUGUGCACCUCAGUUCGUUCCCGAUAUCGUGAUUUUGAAAAUGGAUGCGACACGUGGAGAAUUAUUGCAAAGGAAUCUAGAAAGAUAAUAAUGCUAUAUGUCAGCACAUAUUACUGGUUUUACCAUCGUCGAUUUCGAUAGUUCCAAGGCUCAUCAAAUUGUGCCUCCACUCCCACGUCUCUCCUGGUUUAUUUUCGCCGCUUAUUAUAAAGAGAUAAGCCGUACUUUUUCAAUAAACCUCUCAAACGUUUUGAUCUUAUCCGCAAA